UACGUAGGGACCAAGCGUUGUUCGGAUUUACUGGGCGUAAAGGGCGCGUAGGCGGCGUGGUAAGUCACUUGUGAAAUCUCUGAGCUUAACUCAGAACGGCCAAGUGAUACUGCUGUGCUAGAGUGCAGAAGGGGCAAUCGGAAUUCUUGGUGUAGCGGUGAAAUGCGUAAAUAUCAAGAGGAACACCUGAGGUGAAGACGGGUUGCUGGGCUGACACUGACGCUGAUGCGCGAAAGCCAGGGGAGCAAACGGG
rnacentral:rRNA from 1 species